rnacentral:rRNA from 1 species
AGAAUCAACGCUGGCGGCGUGCCUAACACAUGCAAGUCGAACGAGAAAGUGGGGCAAUCCAUGAGUAAAGUGGCGACCGGGUGAGUAACACGUGACUAACCUACCUUCGAGUGGGGGAUAACCUCGGGAAACCGAGGCUAAUACCGCAUAACAUCGUGAGAUCAAAGCAGUAAUGCGCUGGAAGAGGGGGUCGCGGCUGAUUAGCUAGUUGGCGGGGUAAUGGCCCACCAAGGCGAAGAUCGGUAGCCGGCCUGAGAGGGCGCACGGCCACACUGGAACUGAAACACGGUCCAGACUCCUACGGGAGGCAGCAGUGGGGAAUUUUGCGCAAUGGGGGAAACCCUGACGCAGCAACGCCGCGUGGAGGAUGAAGUCCCUUGGGACGUAAACUCCUUUCGACCAAGACGAUAAUGACGGUACUGGUGGAAGAAGCACCGGCUAACUCUGCGCCAGCAGCCGC